rnacentral:tRNA from 1 species
GGAGAGGUGCUGGAGUGGUCGAUCAGGGCUGCCUGCUAAGCAGUUACACGGUCAAAAGCUGUGUCGAGGGUUCGAAUCCCUCCCUCUCCGCCA